CGGGAUUUGCGAUGGGGGACCCUGAUGAGCAUGCCGCGUGGGUGAUGAAGGCCUUCGGGUUGUAAACCUCUUUCGCUGGGACGAUUGUGACGGUACCGGGGGAAGAAGCCCCUGCUAACUCCCUGCCCGCCCCCGCGGUAAUAGACCGUGCCAUAAACCGGGGGGGUAA
rnacentral:rRNA from 1 species